rnacentral:lncRNA from 1 species
AUUGUUUUGAAAUUAUCAUAAAAUAAUUGAUGUGAUUAUCUUACUCUAGUGCACUGAGGGGCUACGACCGUGUACUAGAGUCAUGUAUUUAACUCUUAUCCACUGAAGGGCUACGUCCGUGGGUAAAGGUAUCCAAUAUACACUGAGGGGCUACAGCCGUAUGUAAAGGUAAUUCUUAUCGACUGAGGGGCUACGAUCGUGGGUAAAGGUAUCUAUUAUACACUGAGGGGCUACAUCCGUGUAUAAGGAUGAUUAUGUUGUUUCCAUCUUGUACACUGAGGGAUUACGACCGUGCACAGAAUAUUGAUCAGAUGGUUUAUGUACAUAUGAUUUAUAGCUUUUAGAUCAUUAGUAGAUGUUUACAUGUGAUAUAUUUUGAUGAUGUGAAUUUUAAUUAUAU